rnacentral:tRNA from 1 species
GCUCGCGUGGCAGAAUUGGCAGACGCGCACGGCUCGGACCGUAUGGGGAAACCCCGUGUAGGUUCGAGGCCUCUCGCGAGCA